GUCUGCGUCGAUUAGUGGUUAAAUCAUCUCGUUGUGGUCAACGGGUGCGUAAAUCGAACACGCGUACUGCCUCGAAGCCGCGUGUUCGACUCACGCCGCGGACA